rfam:Salmo salar isolate Sally breed double haploid chromosome ssa12, whole genome shotgun sequence.
UUUUUGAGUAAUACCAGCCCAUAUUUGCCGGGAUCAGGCCUGGUUAGUACUUUGAUGGGAGGCCACCUGGGAAUACCAGGUGCUGUAAACU